AUUAGAGGCAUUAUAGCAGUGCUGCUCCCAUCUCCCAUAACUUACAAAUUGUUUUUAAUUAUAAGCGACAAGGCGAAAAGCGUAUAAAUUUUUAUUUUAAUUGAAAUUUCAUGUGGCUCCCGGUCCGCUCAUCCGUACACUUGGUUGGCGGUUGGUUAGCUGUCGGGCCGCUGCGCCCAGCUGGUAAUUUAUAAUUCGCACCGACAACAUCUACUGGCCAACUACCCCAACUGACCAUCCUGGCCAGAAAUAAAAUAAAGCCGUGCUGCCCUGACAGUCAUUUCGCCUGGCGGAUAGACACACUCUGCAUAUCCAUUUAAUCAGUGCAUCAGCAUCCUCAUCAGCAGGAUGGCUGGAGUCCAGAGUUACUGCCCAGCUGAUGCCUUUGUUUGCCCACGCGGCGUAUACGCAAUGUGCAUAAGGGAGUUUAUGGCCAGCAGUGGUCGGUAAAAAUGGCAGCAGCAACAACGAUAACAGUUAACAAGCAAAAUAUGAAAUUGUUGCCCUGUCUGCUUCAGACAUGUUAAACAAAAUUAAUUAAGUGCGUUUGCACAUUCAACAAAAAAAAAAAAAGAUAGAAGCUGGGGGAAAUAAAUAAUACCUCAUACCGACCGAUGCAGACUCUACGUGUUAAUGUUCAGGCAGCUUGCCUGUUUAAUAUUUUAAGCAGAUCAUUUUAAACCAUCCCCUCGGCAACAUUAAUCUUUAUUUUUCAUGUCAAAACAAGCAUUUACCAGCUCCAAGCAUUUGCUCCACAUUUUCCCAAAUAAGCUCGGUAUAGAGCAAUUCAUUUGCCUAUAAAGACUGUCUGAGUGCUCCUGCUGAAAUGCUGCUGGUUGGCUGGCUGCUCAGAGCUCUGCUUAAUUCAAACAUAAAUAAAAUAAAAUUGCAUUCAUGCUAUUUACACGGCUGGCACAGUGAAGCCUGCGCUCGAGUGGAUGUGGAUCCCAGGCAGUUCAUGAUAGGGCGGCAUUAACGUUAACGCCUUUUGACUUUUGAAGGCCGCUCAACGUGGCCCACAUUCCUCCUCUGGAUUGCCAUUCCCAUCUUGCAUCUCCACUGACUUCCUACUCCUACUCCGCCCUUUUCCCACCGCCACGCCUCGCAAUUCACCUGCUCCUUCUGUCCACGGAAGCUGGGGAACUCGGGAACUCGAAAGCUGGAAAACUCCGAUGUGGAGAUGCGGAUACGGGUGCUGGCAAUUUGAUUAUUACAACUGGAGCGGCAAAACCAAUCAUCUUUGAGUCGCAACUGUGAGUCUAACUUGUUGGGAAGUGGGUCAUUCCACGUGGGAGUGUGGGCGGACUGUAAAAUCCAUUGCCACUUGGAUCGCAUGCCAAUCGGUUGUACACGUAUCCAAUGGGUAAUAAUUUUAAAUUUGUAGCCUUACCUCGAUUGUAAAUAGACUGUGCAGUAUGUUCCUUAAGUGCAUUUCUCUUUGAAGUAUUCACUGUACUGAGGAGAACCUAUGCUGAAGCAGCUGAACAUGUCUGGAUUCCUAGGUUUUGUUACUCCUGCUAUGGGUUUUUGGUUUACUGCUGCGUGUUGUUUUGGCCAAAAUUGCAAAUUACAUAUUUAUCAAGCUGCAAACGUUUUUUGAUUUAGUUCCCGAAAGUGCAUCAGAGCAUGGCAAUCAGAAGGGUAAAAAAUCAAGAAAAAAGGGUCUGGCCAGCCAAACCACACAGUUUGUUUGGCUGCGGUCCAAUCAAUGUCAAUCAUACGCACCGUAAACCGAGCUGUGGUCGCCUUGCUGCAAUUCGAGCAAAAGGAGCAAAUGAACAGGAAAUGGCGUUGGCCCCCAAAAAACACCCACCAAAUGACAGACUGCGGCGCAUCGAGACGUCUGUGUUUCUGUCAAAGAUCGGAAUUGUUAUUUAACCUGGAUGGAUGUGUGGGAUCAAAACUCUGGCUGAAAUACAAAUCCUGUUAGUUCGUUCGCUCGAAAUGUGCUGUGAAAUCUGAAUUAAAUUACACGCCAUCGAGAUUUGUGUAUUCAAUCUGCUCACGUUCUCGCCAAUUUUCCUACUUGCUGCGGCCAUUGUUUUUGCUGCAUUUGCAGCAUGUUGACUUUGAAAACAUAUCGUAUUUACAUUUGAUUUAACAGUCAAACAAAUUUCUAGAAUUGCGCAAAUAUUUACAUACACAAUCGGAAAAUCUGUGCAGUGCUGCGAACACGUGUGCCCUGUUGUGAAUUAAAAACAUAUAUAUACAUAUAUACUUUCGUUCAUAUGUUGUAUGUACCCUUUGCUUGCGUGGCUGUGCAUACAUGAAAGUUAAAUUUAAAACAUAGCAGCCCACAUGGCGGAUGAUUGAUUUCAAUGCCGGCAAAGAAAAGAGAAAUGGUGGCACACAGAAGUUAAACUAGAACCGGUCGAAAGUGGCUAAGGCAAAACACGUUUCCCAGUUGGCAUUUAAUCCCGUUAUCGUUAUCCAGCCCUCCAAGGAGCAAGGAUACGGAGGAGGACUUGGCAGUGGACGUGAAUGUGGUAAUAAAAAGACGAUGCACUCUGCGCAGCUCACAGCAGGCGAGAAAACUUGCCGCAUAAUGCGUCACAAAGCUCGCUAGAUUUGCCACCCGCACAAGAAGUGCUAACAGCACGUUAACCGGGCGAAGAAGGAUCAGGGAAAGGACCCCUGUAACGGGAAACGGAAACGGAGAGCAGGCGGUGUGCGUCUGAGUCCGUCUGCAAUUUCAUUACAUUUACGUUAAAUGCCUGUUGGCCGUCUCGUCCACUCAUCUGACUGGCAGACAAACAGUUCGCACAAGUGAAAGUAAUUAAAUUUUUGAGCGUCGCCACCUCCCACAUAGUCUGCCAUCCUGAGUCCAGAGUCGUUCGUCCCUCGACCCCCGUCCUUGGUCCUUGUUACUUGGUCCUUAGCCCACCCACAUCAUUCACACUAACGAACUGACGCACAAAACGUGCCAUUUUAGAGGCAAUCCGUUUCCGUUCCGAGUCCAGUUGCGCACCCUUUUAACGGCGGCCACAAAAAUGUUCAACACAUUCUGGCUGCACUUUCCCUUUUCCCUUUACCCUUUGCCCUCUUGCCCCCGAAUCCCUAUCUCCCUAAAUCCUGGUCACGCGGCGUAUGCGUAAUGUCUGUCCGCCUGCCCGCCCGCCCACUUUAUGAGCUCUCCGGCCGGAACUCGCGACUGCCAACUGCCAGUUUAAUUAAAAAUAAAACCCACCAUCGCUCCGGCUGCCCUGCUGCCUGGCUGUAUGGUUCCAACUGAUUAUUCGCUCUGGGCCACGCUUUAUACGUGCGAAAACCAGUAGCAGCAUCCCCAACACUUGACGCAUCGCAUCAGUUGUGUGGUGGCAACAUCCAGUCCAGAGUCCAGAGUCGUUCGUCCAUUUUGUGGGUCAAAAGCAAAUAAUUGAAGAGAGCACGUCGACUGAUUGCCAUUGUUGAGGUCAGUUGAGUGCGCUUUCUUUUCACCUUUUUUUCCAGUUGCUGCUUGCCUGGUUAUUUUUGGGUCCUUUCUUUUUGUUAUUUAUGGCAUUUGUGCUCUUUGGCGGAUGUCAAUGGCUGUGUCAUAAAAUAAAAUACGAGUAUGUGCGCAAAUAAAACGCAAGCAAUUAAACAGCAAAAAUGCUUGGGGCUCAAAAGGAAUGGGGACGAGCACGAAAAAUGCUAGUUGAUCAGCAGUUUCGGGUGGCAUUGAAAGUGAUUUGAAUGCGACAGUGGUGCCGAAUUCAAAAAGCAGCUUUAAAGAUUAGCAAAUUUAUAAGUUAGCUUUGAAAUUAUGGCAUAAGUUGAUAAGGAUGUAUUUCCAUUUGUAAAAGUCGUAUAAUACGCUUUUCAAAUUUAACCAAUUAAUAGGUAUCGGAUUUUACAGAUUACCAUAUAUAUAUUAUUCCAAUUUUUACAGAAUAUUUUAGCUUUAAAGUCUGCUUUUCUGCUUGCAAGUUGUGCAUUCCCUCGAGCGUUUCCUUUGCAAAUCUGCUUAAAUCUCGGGGGCUCACGACCCCGUACAAGUAAAAUUAGCCUUCACUGGUCAACUGACUGGUUAACCCCGUUGGCUUUCAAAUCGCUGCUGGCAUUGUAAAUAUGGCUGUAAUUAUGCAUAAUCUGCCAUUGAAGAGCGCACAUAUAGCGACCGGAAAUGCAUGUAUGCAUAUCAGAGUGACCCCCAUUCUUCUGUGUGUGCGUGUAUGCGACUUCAUUCCCUCGGCACGUAAGUGUGCUAUAUGUGUGUGUGUGUGUGUGCGUAUUAAUUACCGUAGCCAUAACAAUGAAAUUCAAUUUACCGGCCACGCCCCGCGGCCAUGUUAAAUGGGCGGACGGAGAAUCCAUCAUGGCCGGAAUUAUGUUUUGAUAAGCGUCCAGCGAGCAAACAAGCCAUAAAACCGGCAAACGGAUGGACGGAUGGACAUUCAGGCGAUGCCUAAAUUAAAGAUGAAAUCAAGGCAAAUAGAGCCGGACAAAUAAAGCACUCGAACACAAAAUGGACAGAAUCGCAUUCGGAUGCGGACGGAGCGGCAGGAAGGAUGUAGAUUGGUCGGAGCGGAUGCGGAUGUGGAUGGGGGAAUAUAUAUGGCUGGACAAACUAAUCCGACGGCAGCAGAGAUUGCAUGAGGACCUCGACCAUUAGCCAAAAGCAGCAGCACUGCGAAUGCGGAUAGUUGCCCCAAAAUGGAGCUGGAGUUUGGAGAUGGCCACGAUGGCAAUGGUGACGAGUGACCCGGCAGGACGUUUUGGAUUUGGGCACGAUUUAGGCUGUAGCUUUUGUUUGCUUUUUAUGAGUGUGCCGGUCGGUGAGCGGGUUUUCCGCUUGUUUAUUUAUUCGAAAAACAUUCGUACGAUGGGAAAGCACUUUGCGAUUGCACAGUGCAAGAAAUUGAAAUAACAUAGAUAAUAUAACUCUCGAACUCUUACUUCAUAUUCCUAACAGCAGUUUAGUUUCUCUCGGUGUACGGACAAGUUGAAUAAGUUGAAAUCGUGGCGCGCUUCGCUGAAGUGUCAAAUGAUUGAAUAAACGAAUCAAAUCAUGUGUGACAAAUUUAUCUGUGUGUUUCAACGGUUAUCUUCGGUGGGCGACUGCCGAAAUGAAUCCUAAUGAAAUGGAAGCAAUUGCCGUUCCUCACUUCGCGUGUCACACCUCAAAAGCGGUUGGAGUGCCACGAUGACCACUGUAGGAGUCGGUCAAUCGCCCAGACCGGGCUUAUGAAACCACUGACUGUCGAAGUCUUGUGUGUGCUGCCAUGCCUCCCUAUGCUUCCUCCGCCCUGGACAAACAUGCCCAGAUCCCCAGAUCCUCUUUGCCGGCCAAAUCGCAGAUACUCAUAGAACUGAUAGAGCCUGGGGGGCAAACAAUGGCGGGCCAAUGUUUGAGUUAGUGCGCCAGAUUUAUGAUGGACAACUGCGUCGAAAUCUUUAUGCAGCUGUACGGAGCGGUAUUUGUGGCCGGAGUCCGCAUCUAUGGCCACUUUGCACCUACGGCAGACACGAAAACUAUUUUCCAUUGCAGCCGCACAAAAAGUGGGCAAAAAACGAGAGGCGAGCUGCUCGUUCGCACAAAGCAUUUUUAGAAAAAGUUUUUGGCUUGGAGCACGGGAAUACAGGAGAUAUAGGAUGAAAUAUGUAUGUAUAUAUGUGCUGCUCGCAUAUGUAUUUGCUCGGCGCACAGUUUUUCAAUUUAAAAUGGGUCUGAAAAGCGCAGUCAUAUUCAUUCGCCUGAUGUGUGAAUAUGCUAGUCCAUUGGAGUGUGCUUAAGUUGUGUGCGCACUUCAUUCAGUUCACCUACUCAACUCAACUGAACUGAACUUUUGGUGCCACUUUAUUACAGCCAAGUCUGCGGCAGGUUCAAUAAACUCGCUCAGCAUCUGUGCACCAACCAUCUAGCACCACUCAGCACCACCCACUCCAUCCACCACCCGCCAGGGAAACCAUUUCAAACGACACUUGCAGUUGCAUCUGAUAAUUGUGCCAUCAACGGUGCAAUUGCUUCAAAAGUGUUUCGUUGCCGUCGCGUUUAUUUUCGUACACUUUUUGCACAUUGCCCACAAAUGAUGCCAAAUAAAAUGCAGACAUUUCAGAUAUCAGCGGAGUAUCUUGUUCAUUUGCCUAUCGGGAUGGCAUCCGAAUUUUAUUUAAACAAAAGUUGGUAAUUGCUUUCAAUGUUCUAUAGCUAAGUGUGAUAUAAAUGGUCUUAAGACAUGGAAGAAUAUUAAAUCGCUGCAUUGAAGAUUUUAAA
rnacentral:sRNA from 1 species